UUUAACUGAAGAGUUUGAUCAUGGCUCAGAUUGAACGCUGGCGGCAGGCUUAACACAUGCAAGUCGAGCGGGGGAAGGUAGCUUGCUACUGGACCUAGCGGCGGACGGGUGAGUAAUGCUUAGGAAUCUGCCUAUUAGUGGGGGACAACAUCUCGAAAGGGAUGCUA
rnacentral:rRNA from 1 species